GUUCUCGUGGCUCAGUUGGUUUAGAGUAUGGGAUUCAUAACCCCAUGAUCGCGAGUUCGAUCCUCGCCGAGAACA
rfam:Tilletia walkeri strain DAOM 236422 scaffold_169, whole genome shotgun sequence.